rnacentral:lncRNA from 1 species
UUGAAAAGUUCAAAGAGUUCAAGAAUGAAGUGGAGAAUCAAUUGGGCAGGAAAAUCAAGAUGCUUCGAUCCGAUCGAGGAGGAGAGUACCUAAGUCUUGAAUUCCACGACUAUCUCAAGGAGUGUGGAAUAGUUUCACAAUUGACGCCACCUAGGACACCGCAGUUGAAUGGUGUGGCAGAAAGGCAUAAUCGAACCUUGUUGGACAUGGUUCGCUCUAUGAUGAGUCAUGCUUCAGUACCUAUCUUUUUUUGGGGGUAUGCCUUAGAGACUGCCACCCAUAUCCUUAACCGAGUCCCUACUAAGAAGGUUGCCAAAACACCUCACGAGAUGUGGACAGGGAAAGCUCCCUCGUUAACACAUAUCAAGGUUUGGGGUUGUGAGGCUUUUGUAAUACGAGAUACUCACGACAAGCUCGAACCUCAUAGUGAGCGAUGUAUUUUCAUCGACUACCCGCAGAAAUCCUUUGGAUAUCUCUUCUAUAGACCGAAGGACAAUGUCGUCUUCAUUGCGAGGAGAGGAGUUUUCCGAGAGAGAGAACUCAUAAGCCAAGGAGACAGUGGGAGGCAAAUCGAGAUAGUGGGACCAAAGUUGAUCCUGCUAAACCCUGUCCUAACCCAAAAGAGGCAGAGUGCCAUCAUUUCCAUAAAAUAGGGCAUUGGAAGAGAAGCUACCCAGACUACCUGCAAGCCAGAAAUGAAGGAAAGAUCAAGCCAACUUUCGCAGGUAUUUACACAAUUAAAUCUAAUGAUUCAUCUCAUGCUAUUUCUUGGGUCCUUGAUACCGGUUGUGGUUACCACAUUCUGAAUUGCAGGGACUAAGAAGAAAUAGGGAUGUGGAGCAUGGAAGAAUAAAUCUAAUCAUGGGGAACAGAAGAUCGUCGCCUGUGACCAAGAUUGGAGUGUAUUCUUUAGUGCUUAGGAAUGGUUUAUGUUUAGAUUUGAACAAUUGUUGCUAUUCGCCAGAAAUGGCAAGAAACAUCAUUUCAUUUCAUGGUUUGUUUAGACAAGGUUUUAGAUUUUCUUUUAAUAAUGAGAAUGGUUCUAUUCUUGCUUAUCUAAAUGGUGUCUUAUAUUUUGAAGCAAUACCGUGUAAUGGAAUUUAUGAAACUGUUAUGAUUGUAGAUAACUUAGGAAAUGAUGUUUUAUGCAUGGAUUCUUCCAAUGGUAUGGAUAGAGCAUCCUUGUGGCAUUGUCGUCUUGGACAUGUCAACAAGAAGCGCAUAGCCCAACUCCAAAAGGAUGGAGUGUUGGAGUCAUUCGACCUUAGGGAAGAUGACACAUGCGAGUCUUGUUUGCUUGGAAAGAUGACUAAGUCACCCUUCACUAGUACGUGUGAAAGGGGUGAGGGUCUAUUGGACCUCAUACAUACCGAUGUAUGUGGACCGUUUAGAUCAACCACGAAGGAUGGAAACCGCUUCUAUGUGACUUUUACCGAUGACUAUAGUAGAUAUGGGUAUAUCUACUUAAUCAAGCAAAAGUCAGAAACGUUUGAAAAGUUCAAAGAGUUCAAGAAUGAAGUGGAGAAUCAAUUGGGCAGGAAAAUCAAGAUGCUUCGAUCCGAUCGAGGAGGAGAGUACCUAAGUCUUGAAUUCCACGAUUAUCUCAAGGAGUGUGGAAUAGUUUCACAAUUGACGCCACCUAGGACACCGCAGUUGAAUGGUGUGGCAGAAAGGCGUAAUCGAACCUUAUUGGAUAUGGUUCGCUCUAUGAUGAGUCGUGCUUCACUACCUAUCUCUUUUUGGGGGUAUGCCUUAGAGACUGCCGCCCAUAUCCUUAACCGAGUCCCUACUAAGAAGGUUGCCAAAACACCUCACGAGAUGUGGACAGGGAAAGCUCCCUCGUUGGCACAUAUCAAGGUUUGGGGUUGCGAGGCUUUCGUAAGACGAGAUACUCACG